CUUGUCAUUCUUUGUUGGUCUUUGUCGAUGCUGGUCUUUGCUGAUGAUGCUGUGCUGUAUUGAUUUGCCUAGUUAUCUUUUGUUGAUUAUCGUUUGUUGUGAAUUUAAAAACAAGCCUACAUGAAGCAUAAUCCAAAUUUCUUCUAGAGGGGAUUUCAAAAUGACUAUACUUUAAAAUCAAGGAGCUUCCUUGCUUUUUCUCUGAAACAUCUUUCCCACCACGUUGAUGGCUGCUUGUACUACACAUCCAACUAUGCCAACUUAACUCAGAAGCAAUCUACAAAUCAAACACCAAUGACACCAAGACCAUCGGUUGUAUAAUGAGGCUAGCAGGACACAGACUACACUGGUCAUCUGUGACUUUGUAGCAUGGUUGUUCUCUCAGAACCAACAUACCCCAAGG